GACGAACGCUGGCGGCGUGCCUAAUACAUGCAAGUAGAACGCUGAAGGAGGAGCUUGCUUCUCUGGAUGAGUUGCGAACGGGUGAGUAACGCGUAGGUAACCUGCCUGGUAGCGGGGGAUAACUAUUGGAAACGAUAGCUAAUACCGCAUAAGAGUAGAUGUUGCAUGACAUUUGCUUAAAAGGUGCAAUUGCAUCACUACCAGAUGGACCUGCGUUGUAUUAGCUAGUUGGUGGGGUAACGGCUCACCAAGGCGAGGAUACAUAGCCGACCUGAGAGGGGGAUCGGCCACACUGGGACUGAGACACGGCCCAGACUCCUACGGGAGGCAGCAGUAGGGAAUCUUCGGCAAUGGACGGAAGUCUGACCGAGCAACGCCGCGUGAGUGAAGAAGGUUUUCGGAUCGUAAAGCUCGGUUGUAAGAGAAGAACGAGUGUGAGAGUGGAAAGUUCACACUGUGACGGUAACUUACCAGAAAGGGACGGCUAACUACGUG
rnacentral:rRNA from 1 species